AGUGAACGCUGGCGGUAGGCCUAACACAUGCAAGUCGAACGGCAGCACAGUAAGAGCUUGCUCUUACGGGUGGCGAGUGGCGGACGGGUGAGGAAUACAUCGGAAUCUACUUUUUCGUGGGGGAUAACGUAGGGAAACUUACGCUAAUACCGCAUACGACCUACGGGUGAAAGCAGGGGAUCUUCGGACCUUGCGCGAUUGAAUGAGCCGAUGUCGGAUUAGCUAGUUGGCGGGGUAAAGGCCCACCAAGGCGACGAUCCGUAGCUGGUCUGAGAGGAUGAUCAGCCACACUGGAACUGAGACACGGUCCAGACUCCUACGGGAGGCAGCAGUGGGGAAUAUUGGACAAUGGGCGAAAGCCUGAUCCAGCCAUACCGCGUGGGUGAAGAAGGCCUUCGGGUUGCAAAGCCCUUUUGUUGGGAAAGAAAAGCAGCAGGUUAAUACCCCGCUGUUCUGACGGUACCCAAAGAAUAAGCACCGGCUAACUUCGUG
rnacentral:rRNA from 1 species